rnacentral:lncRNA from 1 species
CCCAAGAAAGAUGGUCUUUUCUGGAACUUGGCCUUGUACAUGUAUAUAGGUCUUAGCCCAUUGCGUGGUGACUUCUCAGACACGUUUAUACCUUGGUCCCCAGGAUAAUGGAAGCCACAAAAGAGACAAAUUAAAAUGUCAGCCCAGCUGGGCCCACAUUGUGGGCCAGCAAUUACAGUGGAACCCCUUGCCUCUUGGAUCACCUGAGAGUAGCACAUCUGUGCUUCCUGUAAGAGGGAUAACAAAAUAAUCCAAGUCCUUUCCUAGAUGUUCCUGGACUCAGUGUAAGUACUGUGUGCUUCU